UAUUACAAUGAAGAGUUUGAUCCUGGCUCAGGAUGAACGCUAGCUACAGGCUUAACACAUGCAAGUCGAGGGGCAGCAUGGUCUUAGCUUGCUAAGGCCGAUGGCGACCGGCGCACGGGUGAGUAACACGUAUCCAACCUGCCGUCUACUCUUGGACAGCCUUCUGAAAGGAAGAUUAAUACAAGAUGGCAUCAUGAGUCCGCAUGUUCACAU
rnacentral:rRNA from 1 species